GGGUGUGAAGGUGAUCUGGCUACGACACCUGACACCCACUGAUCGCCAGGGUUGAUUUGGCUGAUCUGCCUGGGUAGGGCAAGUGUCUGUCUGCUUUCUCUCUCACCACUCCAUGCUGUUCUUCCUGAAGCCAGGAGCUCUGUCAAAGAGGACGGUUCUCACCAAAUAAAGGAGGACCAGUCUUUGGUCAAGGGUAUACAAGUAGUUGCACAACCCUGCUAGAAGCUUCACAAAAGCCCUCCAAACACAGCAGGCAUUUUGGCACAGACACAACUCCUGAAAAAUACUCUAUCUUCCCUGACAGACUGAAACAAUGA
rnacentral:snRNA from 1 species